rnacentral:lncRNA from 1 species
AAAUGGAAGCACACCCAGAGUGCUCCGGACAGACGCCCAGCCUGCUGUAGGAGCUCCUGUGGGCUCAUCUGCCUUCGGAGCAUGCACCUGCAUCAGGCGACUGCAGCACAGUGAGACUGAUGGGCUGCCCUGAGCACAGGGCACGAGGAACCUUGCGCUUCUCCGCGUAUCCGGUGGGAGGCGCCCACACAGGGGCCUCCUGGAGGGUCCCUGUGGGAGGCUGUAUGUGGGGCAGAGGUUCGGAUGUGGCCGGAUACCCACUCUCCCAUACCGGGGGCCCUGCGCUGGCCACUCCAGCCACAUGUGGCUGCUUCUGCUUUGUAGUGAGUGACUUUCUCAACCAAGCCUGGCCAUGGCUCUCCACACGCCAGUCUCUUGAGCUGCAGGAGAGACCCCCCCAGAGGUCCUAGCCCAGUGGCACUGGCUACUGUCCCCUUCUGUGCCUGUCCCUGACUUGCCCCCAACUCGGCUCCGACUCUGCCCCUCCCCUCAGCCUCUCACCUGCCGCCCUUCCCCAUCUUGGCUGGGCCGAGGAAUCACUCACGCCCUUCCUCGGCGUAUUAGUCCGUUCCCACGCUGCUAUAAAGAACUGCCCAAGACUGGGUAAUUUAUACAAGAAAGAGGUUUAAUUGACUCACAGUUGAGCAUGGCUGAGGAGGCCUCAGGAAACUUAGUCAUGGUGGAAGGCAAAGGAGAAGCAGGUCCCAGGGCGGCGGGACGGAGUGAGUGCAAGCAGGGGAAGUACCAGACGUUGAUGAAACCAUCAGAUCUCAUGAGACUCACGCAGUAUUGCAAGAACAGCAUGGGGGAGCCACCCCAUGAUCCAGGCACCUCCACCUGCUCCCGCCCUUGAUACGUGGGUACUAUGGAGAGUACAAUUCAAGGCAGGCGAUGCUCAAAUCCAUCUCCUCACUGACGCCCUCCUCUGUGGCAGCUCUGAGCCUUGAACCUCCAACACCGUCCUGUCGGGACUGGCAGAACUCAUCAGGGGAAUCAUUGGAACGCUAGUCACCCUUGCCCCUCCAGACCUCCCAACCUCUCCUCUCCCCUCCCUAGCACCCCCUCACCCCAGGCUGCCUGGGUCCUACACAGUCCCCAGCACUGAGACUGGCCUUCUGCUCCCCUCCCUCAGCCUUGCUCACCUCCUGGCUGUCCUGGGACAGCGUCUUAGGGUGCUGCCUGCUCAUGACUUGCUCAGGGUCUUAGUCCCCUGCCUCCCCCUGCACCUGUGUCCUCGGUCACGUGUUCCGUCAGGGUGCUGGGCAUGGCGCCGACAUGGAAGCGCUGCCUGUCUGCUCCUCAG